UGUGAACUGCAGGACACAUGAAUAUCGACACUUUGAACGCAAAUGGCUGGACCUC
rnacentral:rRNA from 1 species